ACAGCAGCAGCCGCGGGAAUACGGAGGGUGCAAGCGUUAAUCGGAAUUACUGGGCGUAAAGCGCACGCAGGCGGUUUGUUAAGUCAGAUGUGAAAUCCCCGAGCUUAACUUGGGAACUGCAUUUGAAACUGGCAAGCUAGAGUCUUGUAGAGGGGGGUAGAAUUCCAGGUGUAGCGGUGAAAUGCGUAGAGAUCUGGAGGAAUACCGGUGGCGAAGGCGGCCCCCUGGACAAAGACUGACGCUCAGGUGCGAAAGCGUGGGGAGCAAACAGGAUUAGAUACCCCAGUAGUCCCUGUCUCUUAUAC
rnacentral:rRNA from 1 species